GGCCGAGGGGCUGCUAUAACUGCAGUAGACGCUGAAGGAGGAGCUUGCUUUUCUGGAUGAGUUGCGAACGGGUGAGUAACGCGUAGGUAACCUGCCUGGUAGCGGGGGAUAACUAUUGGAAACGAUAGCUAAUACCGCAUAAGAGUAGAUGUUGCAUGACAUUUGCUUAAAAGGUGCAAUUGCAUCACUACCAGAUGGACCUGCGUUGUAUUAGCUAGUUGGUGAGGUAACGGCUCACCAAGGCGACGAUACAUAGCCGACCUGAGAGGGUGAUCGGCCACACUGGGACUGAGACACGGCCCAGACUCCUACGGGAGGCAGCAGUAGGGAAUCUUCGGCAAUGGACGGAAGUCUGACCGAGCAACGCCGCGUGAGUGAAGAAGGUUUUCGGAUCGUAAAGCUCUGUUGUAAGAGAAGAACGAGUGUGAGAGUGGAAAGUUCACACUGUGACGGUAUCUUACCAGAAAGGGACGGCUAACUACGUGCCAGCAGCCGCGGUAAUACGUAGGUCCCGAGCGUUGUCCGGAUUUAUUGGGCGUAAAGCGAGCGCAGGCGGUUAGAUAAGUCUGAAGUUAAAGGCUGUGGCUUAACCAUAGUACGCUUUGGAAACUGUUUAACUUGAGUGCAAGAGGGGAGAGUGGAAUUCCAUGUGUAGCGGUGAAAUGCGUAGAUAUAUGGAGGAACACCGGUGGCGAAAGCGGCUCUCUGGCUUGUAACUGACGCUGAGGCUCGAAAGCGUGGGGAGCAAACAGGAUUAGAUACCCUGGUAGUCCACGCCGUAAACGAUGAGUGCUAGGUGUUAGACCCUUUCCGGGGUUUAGUGCCGCAGCUAACGCAUUAAGCACUCCGCCUGGGGAGUACGACCGCAAGGUUGAAACUCAAAGGAAUUGACGGGGGCCCGCACAAGCGGUGGAGCAUGUGGUUAAUUCGAAGCACGCGAAGACCUUACCAGGUCUUGACUCCCUCUGACCCUCUAAAGAAAAGUUUCCUUCGGGACGAAGUGACAGGGGGGGAUGGUUGCCCCAACUCCGGCCUGGAAUGUUGGGUAAUCCCCCACAAGCGCACCCCAUUGGAAUUGCCCCUUUAGUGGGCCCUACGA
rnacentral:rRNA from 1 species